rnacentral:piRNA from 1 species
AUGGGUGCAAAGGUCUCACUGAGAUCCAAU